GGGGACUAGAUGUUGUUGGCGGCAUGCGGGUCCUGCAAACCCGAUGGAUGGGUUCGAGUCCCAUAGUCUCCACCA
rnacentral:tRNA from 1 species